rnacentral:rRNA from 1 species
UGGGGAAUAUUGGACAAUGGGCGCAAGCCUGAUCCAGCCAUGCCGCGUGAGUGAUGAAGGCCCUAGGGUUGUAAAGCACUUUCACCGGUGAAGAUAAUGACGGUAACCGGAGAAGAAGCCCCGGCUAACUUCGUGCCAGCAGCCGCGGUAAUACGAAGGGGGCUAGCGUUGUUCGGAUUUACUGGGCGUAAAGCGCACGUAGGCGGACUAUUAAGUCAGGGGUGAAAUCCCGGGGCUCAACCCCGGAACUGCCUUUGAUACUGGUAGUCUUGGGUUCGAGAGAGUUGAGUGGAAUUCCGAGUGUAGAGGUGAAAUUCGUAGAUAUUCGAAGGAACACCAGUGGCGAAGGCGGCUCACUGGCUCGAUACUGACGCUGAGGUGCGAAAGCGUGGGGAGCAAACAGG